AUGAACGCUGGCGGCGUGCCUAAUACAUGCAAGUCGAGCGAACAGACGAGGAGCUUGCUCCUCUGACGUUAGCGGCGGACGGGUGAGUAACACGUGGAUAACCUACCUAUAAGACUGGGAUAACUUCGGGAAACCGGAGCUAAUACCGGAUAAUAUAUUGAACCGCAUGGUUCAAUAGUGAAAGACGGUUUUGCUGUCACUUAUAGAUGGAUCCGCGCCGCAUUAGCUAGUUGGUAAGGUAACGGCUUACCAAGGCAACGAUGCGUAGCCGACCUGAGAGGGUGAUCGGCCACACUGGAACUGAGACACGGUUCAGACUCCUACGGGAGGCAGCAGUAGGGAAUCUUCCGCAAUGGGCGAAAGCUUGACGGAGCAACGCCGCGUGAGUGAUGAAGGUCUUCGGAUCGUAAAACUCUGUUAUUAGGGAAGAACAAAUGUGUAAGUAACUAUGCACGUCUUGACGGUACCUAAUCAGAAAGCCACGGCUAACUACGUG
rnacentral:rRNA from 1 species